rnacentral:rRNA from 1 species
UAAAAAAUCGUCCCAGUUCGGAUUGCAGGCUGCAACCCGCCUGCAUGAAGUCGGAAUUGCUAGUAAUCGCGGAUCAGCAUGCCGCGGUGAAUACGUUCCCGGGCCUUGUACACACCGCCCGUCACACCAUGGGAGCCGGUAACACCCGAAGUCAGUAGCCUGACCGAUUCCGGAGGGCGCCGCCGAAGGUGGGAUUGGUGACUGGGGUGAAGUCGUAACAAGGUACC